GGGGCUGUAGCUCAGCUGGGAGAGCGCGUCGUUCGCAAUGACGAGGUCAGGGGUUCGAUCCCCCUCAGCUCCACC
rnacentral:tRNA from 2 species